rnacentral:lncRNA from 1 species
GAAUAUGCAACAUUUCAACAGCACAUUUAAGGCUGUUAGAGUAACAGCUUUUCAAAAUGUAGGCAGAUCAUAAUUCCUUCCCCCAAACUGUUUUCAUGUUGACUCAUGCAACCAGAUUUUGUCAAGGGAAAAAAUAACUUGGAAGGAGAGAUUCCUUUUGGAGACUGUCUGAGGUGUCAGAGACAGACAGAUCAUGUAAGUGUGAGACCAUCUGGUGGUGAGGGGCCACCAGCCAAGACACUACAUUCUGAAACAGAGACCCUCUCUGGCCUCCAGAUUCUUUAAACUCUCAGCCACCAAGGGCCACAUGGGGUUUGUUACAGCAAGUUUUAAAGCUUUCUGGCAUUUCAAUACAGUUUUAGCAGUUGGCUCCUAAAAAUAAACAAACAAACAAACAAGUCAAAUCCUGGGUGUGUAUAGACCCACUGUACAGGCAGAAACUCAAAUGGCUUACCUUCUCUUGGGUGUAGCCUUGGAACCACCGAGAUGUACUUUCUAACUAAAUGCUGCACACACUAGGACCACCCAGAGUUACAAAGUGCUCUUGGACAGGGCCCUGCUCCCCUUAGCCUAAAGUGGAAAGAUGCUGGUGCCUUGACCUCAGGUGUUCUAGGCUAAAACACUGCACCACUGACCCUCGACUCUUGUAAGAGACCUGUCUUCAGUUACCCUUAAUUCUUUGCUAAAGCUUCAAACUAUAAUCACAAACAUUUUUUUGAAGGGUAUCACCAAAAUUAGGCCACGGCAGCCAUUUUUAAAGCUCAGGACCAUGGAUACUUCGACGGUAUUUGGUAAAAGUAAAAUAGGCUGGGCGAUCAGAAGGAUAGGAGCUGCUUCAGUCUGCUGUAACCUAACCCUCCAUCCGUUGUGCCAGCAGCCCACAGUUCGACACCGUGGCUUCCUCCUGUGGGAACUAUCCAAAAGAUUUCACCUAACGAGACUCUCACUAUGUCAAAAUUAAUUUUUUUCAGUUGUACUUUUUCUUUCCCCUCUACAAGAUGAAAGAUUAUAAAGUGAAAUUUUAUAAACAUCAACCAAAGCAAAGGCACUUUCUAGGACACUGACUUCAUAAAGAUGUUAGAAAUGAGGAAAUUUGAUGUCAGGUGAGAGUUUAUACUUGUUAUGUAUGGUUACUAAUGCAGCGGGUGUAGCUGACUGAAGUUUGAUAUAGUUGUAUUCUCACAUUUAUAGUGAUAUUAAAAAUACAGUCACCUCUGACUUCUAUGCCAGGGAAGGCUUUUUUAAAUUUUAGGUUAUUAAAAUCCAUAUUGGUUAAAAGUCACAGUUCCCACUGAAUAAUAUUUUUAAUUCACAGAAGGGUUUGUUCCCAGGUGUGCUCCAUUCUGCAUCACAAGAGUUUAGUCGAAGACAUUUUCUAAAUUAAAAUAAUUGUUUGUAAUUAGAGAUCUUGCACUGUCUAGAGAUAUAAUAUUGACCAAUCAUAUGCAUGCAGAGAUGAUAUUUCUACCCUUUAGAAAGUUGUCACGAGGGCUUAUUUUCAGGAAUCUGCCAUUUUCUUUUCCCUGUGGAUAGAGAUCACGAUUUUGGGAGACUGUUGAUAAUUUCAGGAAGCUACUUCAUUUGAAUCAGAACUGACAUCGUGUCAAUCCCCAUUAUUUCCGGCUCACAGCUUGGACUUCUGGCUGCCUUCUAAAAGUUGUUUAAUGAUAAACUGUAAUGUGACUCCAUCCCUGAGACUACAUGUGGGCAUGGAGGCCUGGGAGUUGAUGAAGACUAAGACAGGACUUCCCUUCCCAGGAUGCUAUCUAUCGGGAAGGGAGUGCCAAGUGCCCGUCCCUGGGACCCAGUAGAUCAGAGUACUCCUGCAGAGUAGCGAUGACCUCACAGCUCAGAACCCUUAAACAUGCAGACAGCCAUGCUGUGUAGAAGAUGACGCAUCCCUGACAGCUGUUUUAAAGCUUUAUUGCAAGAGUUGUAAUCUUCUGGCCUGGAGACCCUGCCAAACACACUACUGUGCGAUGAGACACAGCCCUGGAGGGAGCGGGCAUCUGAAAUCCAGACCAGAUGCCCUGGGAGCCAGGUGAAGGCCUAAGCUGCAUGAAACUCUAAGGCUCCUGCCCUGAGUAGGGGGUGGGAAGGCUGUGUAAGCCAUGCUAAGCUCUCCAUUUUCAAACUCUGACAGCCAAUUCCAGAUUCCAGAAAGCGCUCGAGGCUACCCGAGGCCCUGUUCUCACUCUGAAGUAACACGUGAUAGAGCUCCUGUGUAUAAGGCAAUGCCGAGAUCAAAUGGAACUAAGUGCUUGUGAAAGCCAAGACCCCUGAAGAGGACCCCAGGUAUACACCUCAGGACUGCUUUGACUAAUGAAUGAGGUGGCCGUGCCGGGACUCCCCUCACCAAGUGGAUUCCCUGGCCUCUGGCAAUACAGAAUGUCUACAUGGUCUUUUUAAAAGGUGAUUUUUAACACACUGUCAGGACUGGAUAACUUACAAGUUAAUAAAAUGAAUUUGUAUCUUGUGUGCGCCUUAUUUAUUCUCCACCAUGUUUCUGGAUGAUAUCCCUGUGGUGUGAAAGGUACCAUAGUCAUUGCUAUUUUACACGGCAAGAGCAAGACACACAAAAGAGGCCAGCAAGGCCAGGGUCUGUCCGGAACUGACCAAAUCUCCCAUUUGCUCCUACGCACUAACAUAUCUACACUUCAGAUUCCCAGAAGCACUGUGCAGACACAGAUCCUUCGCCAUCUUCAAAUCUCUGCUUCUCCAUAUCUGCUGUCCCCAAGGAUGGUGCCCCUUAGAACAGUGGUUCUCAACCUGUGGGCCACGACCCAUGUGGGAGCUGAAUGACCCUUUCACAGGGGGCCACCCAAGACCAUCAUAAAAGACAUAUUAUGGUUCACAACAGUGACACAGUUCUAGCUAC